UCCCUGGAAACGGUAGCUAAUACCGCAUAAUGUCGCAAGACCAAAGAGGGGGACCUUCGGGCCUCUUGCCAUCGGAUGUGCCCAGAUGGGAUUAGCUUGUUGGUGGGGUAACGGCUCACCAAGGCGACGAUCCCUAGCUGGUCUGAGAGGAUGACCAGCCACACUGGAACUGAGACACGGUCCAGACUCCUACGGGAGGCAGCAGUGGGGAAUAUUGCACAAUGGGCGCAAGCCUGAUGCAGCCAUGCCGCGUGUAUGAAGAAGGCCUUCGGGUUGUAAAGUACUUUCAGCGGGGAGGAAGGGAGUAAAGUUAAUACCUUUGCUCAUUGACGUUACCCGCAGAAGAAGCACCGGCUAACUCCGUGCCAGCAGCCGCGGUAAUACGGAGGGUGCAAGCGUUAAUCGGAAUUACUGGGCGUAAAGCGCACGCAGGCGGUUUGUUAAGUCAGAUGUGAAAUCCCCGGGCUCAACCUGGGAACUGCAUCUGAUACUGGCAAGCUUGAGUCUCGUAGAGGGGGGUAGAAUUCCAGGUGUAGCGGUGAAAUGCGUAGAGAUCUGGAGGAAUACCGGUGGCGAAGGCGGCCCCCUGGACGAAGACUGACGCUCAGGUGCGAAAACGCGGGGAGCAAACAGGAUUAGAUACCCUGGUAGUCCACGCCGUAAACGAUGUCGACUUGGAGGUUGUGCCCUUGAGGCGUGGCUUCCGGAGCUAACGCGUUAAGUCGACCGCCUGGGGAGUACGGCCGCAAGGUUAAAACUCAAAUGAAUUGACGGGGGCCCGCACAAGCGGUGGAGCAUGUGGUUUAAUUCGAUGCAACGCGAAGAACCUUACCUGGUCUUGACAUCCACGGAAGUUUUCAGAGAUGAGAAUGUGCCUUCGGGAACCGUGAGACAGGUGCUGCAUGGCUGUCGUCAGCUCGUGUUGUGAAAUGUUGGGUUAAGUCCCGCAACGAGCGCAACCCUUAUCCUUUGUUGCCAGCGGUCCGGCCGGGAACUCAAAGGAGACUGCCAGUGAUAAACUGGAGGAAGGUGGGGAUGACGUCAAGUCAUCAUGGCCCUUACGACCAGGGCUACACACGUGCUACAAUGGCGCAUACAAAGAGAAGCGACCUCGCGAGAGCAAGCGGACCUCAUAAAGUGCGUCGUAGUCCGGAUUGGAGUCUGCAACUCGACUCCAUGAAGUCGGAAUCGCUAGUAAUCGUGGAUCAGAAUGCCACGGUGAAUACGUUCCCGGGCCUUGUACACACCGCCCGUCACACCAUGGGAGUGGGUUGCAAAAGAAGUAGGUAGCUUAACCUUCGGGAGGGCGCUUACCACUUUGUGAUUCAUGACUGGGGUGAAGUCGGAACAAGGUAACCGUAGGGAACCUGCGGUUG
rnacentral:rRNA from 1 species